AGGCUUUGGAACAGGAAGAUAUGUUAUAUUAAAAAAACACUUCUGGACCAAAAAAAGAGAAUUACAUACGCUGGCAAAUGUGAUUGCUCACAGGAAUUACUCUCUGUAGACAUCUUAAAGACUACCUGCUAACCGAAGAACAGCUACACGAAAGUAACUACCCUAGACCACAACCCAACAAACCAGGAAGAAUUCUUUUAAACCCAGCUAUGAAAAAACUCUUGCAAAUGAUGAUCCCCUCAGUGGAAGGCAGCAUCUAAGAUGAUCUGUUGUUGAUAUGGAAAAAUAUACGGUGUGACGGACUCCUUCAGGCAGACACAGCAGGGUAGAGGAAUGUAACCACCACUUUGGCCGAGUGUUGAGUU